UUCUUCCCGACACCGCUGAACGGCAUGCUGGACUCGCCUGACUCGACUAGGGACAUGAUGCAGGACUACGAGGCUUACUAGGACUCGUCCUCUGCCAAGCGCUCGAACGUGCGCAGAUUGCUUGCUACUCGACGGUCUAGAUCUGCCGCAUUACCAGAUGACGCCGACUGCUAGCCGACUAGACGCGUUCCGCCCGCCGUUCGCCGCCUCCCAUUCUCCUCGACCCUCGAAACAGCGCUCGCACUCCCGCAGUCUGCGCUCAGUCUUCAGAGACGAGCGUUGUACUCGAUGGUCAGCGGCGAAGCUGUAGAGGCGACUCACAAUGGAUGGCAAGGUUGGCGAGCGCAAAGGGCGAUCAAUCCUCCCCGCAGAGUAUCAAGUGCGAGUGAAAUGCAGUACAGUAUACACGAGGAGCGG
rnacentral:misc_RNA from 1 species